rnacentral:rRNA from 1 species
GACGAACGCUGGCGGCGUGCUUAACACAUGCAAGUCGAACGGAAAGUCCCUGCUUUUGUGGGGUGCUCGAGUGGCGAACGGGUGAGUAACACGUGAGUAACCUGCCCUUGACUUUGGGAUAACUUCAGGAAACUGGGGCUAAUACCGGAUAGGAGCUCCUGCUGCAUGGUGGGGGUUGGAAAGUUUCGGCGGUUGGGGUUGGACCCGCGGCGUAUCGGCUUGUUGGUGGGGUAGUGGCUUACCAAGGCUUUGACGGGUAGCCGGCCUGAGAGGGUGACCGGCCACAUUGGGACUGAGAUACGGCCCAGACUCCUACGGGAGGCAGCAGUGGGGAAUAUUGCACAAUGGGCGGAAGCCUGAUGCAGCAACGCCGCGUGCGGGAUGACGGCCUUCGGGUUGUAAACCGCUUUCGCCUGUGACGAAGCGUGAGUGACGGUAAUGGGUAAAGAAGCACCGGCUAACUACGUG